rnacentral:tRNA from 1 species
GGCGUUGAUGGCUUCGGUUGCGUGGGCGGUGCCGCUGGUGCCGGCACUGGCUCAGUCGGCUUCGUCUGCCGCAUCGCCUCC